UGGGGAAUAUUGCACAAUGGGCGAAAGCCUGAUGCAGCAACGCCGCGUGAGGGAAGACGGUCUUCGGAUUGUAAACCUCUGUCCUUGGUGAAGAAACAUGACGGUAGCCAUGGAGGAAGCCACGGCUAACUACGUGCCAGCAGCCGCGGUAAUACGUAGGUGGCAAGCGUUGUCCGGAUUUACUGGGUGUAAAGGGAGCGCAGGCGGGAAGGCAAGUCAGCUGUGAAAACUAUGGGCUUAACCCAUAGACUGCAGUUGAAACUGUUUUUCUUGAGUGGAGUAGAGGUAAGCGGAAUUCCGAGUGUAGCGGUGAAAUGCGUAGAGAUUCGGAGGAACACCAGUGGCGAAGGCGGCUUACUGGGCUCUAACUGACGCUGAGGCUCGAAAGUGUGGGGAGCAAACAGG
rnacentral:rRNA from 1 species